AGAGAUGGAGCUCUUCAGUUCGGCUGGACCGGAGACAGGUGCUGCAUGGCUGUCGUCAGCUCGUGUCGUGAGAUGUUGGGUUAAGUCCCGCAACGAGCGCAACCUCGCCCUUAGUUGCCAUCAUUUAGUUGGGCACUCUAAGGGGACUGCCGGUGAUAAGCCGGAGGAAGGUGGGGAUGACGUCAAGUCCUCAUGGCCCUUACAGGCUGGGCUACACACGUGCUACAAUGGCGGUGACAGAGGGACGCAAAGGAGCAAUCCUUCGCAAAUCUCAAAAAGCCGUCUCAGUUCGGAUUGUGCUCUGCAACUCGAGCACAUGAAGUUGGAAUCGCUAGUAAUCGCAGAUCAGCACGCUGCGGUGAAUACGUUCCCGGGCCUUGUACACACCGCCCGUCACACCAUGGGAGUUGGCUUUACCUGAAGGCGGUGCGCUAACCCGCAAGGGAGGCAGCCGACCACGGUAGGGUCAGCGACUGGGGUGAAGUCGUAACAAGGUAGGCGUAGUGCU
rnacentral:rRNA from 1 species